rnacentral:rRNA from 1 species
UGGCGAAGGCGGCCUUCUGGACUGACACUGACACUGAGGUGCGAAAGCGUGGGUAGCAAACAGGAUUAGAUACCCUGGUAGUCCACGCCGUAAACGAUGUCGACCAGCCGUUGGGUGCCUAGCGCACUUUGUGGCGAAGUUAACGCGAUAAGUCGACCGCCUGGGGAGUACGGCCGCAAGGUUAAAACUCAAAUGAAUUGACGGGGGCCCGCACAAGCGGUGGAGCAUGUGGUUUAAUUCGAUGCAACGCGAAGAACCUUACCUACUCUUGACAUCCUGCGAACUUGUGAGAGAUCACUUGGUGCCUUCGGGAGCGCAGAGACAGGUGCUGCAUGGCUGUCGUCAGCUCGUGUUGUGAAAUGUUGGGUUAAGUCCCGUAACGAGCGCAACCCUUGUCCUUAUUUGCCAGCGGGUAAUGCCGGGAACUCUAAGGAGACUGCCGGUGACAAACCGGAGGAAGGUGGGGACGACGUCAAGUCAUCAUGGCCCUUACGAGUAGGGCUACACACGUGCUACAAUGGCCGGUACAAAGGGUUGCGAGCUCGCGAGAGUCAGCUAAUCCCGAAAAGCCGGUCUCAGUCCGGAUCGGAGUCUGCAACUCGACUCCGUGAAGUCGGAAUCGCUAGUAAUCGUGAAUCAGAAUGUCACGGUGAAUACGUUCCCGGGCCUUGUACACACCGCCCGU